CCUACGGGGGGCUGCAGUCGAGGAUCUUCGGCAAUGGGCGAAAGCCUGACCGAGCGACGCCGCGUGCGGGAUGAAGGCCUUCGGGUUGUAAACCGCUGUCAGUGAGGAGGCCUAUUCGCAGAGGAAGGGUGGGCUAAGCUCGUGCCAGCAGCCGCGGUAAGACGAGCCACCCAAACGUUAUUCGGAAUUACUGGGCUUAAAGGGUGCGUAGGCGGUGCGGAAAGUAGGGUGUGAAAUCCCUCGGCUCAACCGAGGAACAGCGCUCUAAACUACCGUGCUUGAGGGAGAUAGAGGUAAGCGGAACUUCGGGUGGAACGGUGAAAUGUGUUGAUAUCCGAAGGAACACCGGUGGCGAAAGCGGCUUACUGGAUCUUUCUGACGCUGAGGCACGAAAGCUAGGGUAGCAAACGGGAUUAGAUACCCUUGUAGUC
rnacentral:rRNA from 1 species